rnacentral:rRNA from 1 species
GCAUGCUUACAACAUAGCUUUAAUGCACCGGAUCCCAUUAGAACUCCGCAGUUAAGUGUGCUCGGGCUAGAGUAGUACUAGGAUGGGUAACCUCCUCGAAAGUCCUAUUAUUUUACAUGUC